rnacentral:rRNA from 1 species
CCUACGUGAGGCUGCAGUGAGGAAUAUUGGUCAAUGGACGAGAGUCUGAACCAGCCAAGUAGCGUGAAGGAUGACUGCCCUAUGGGUUGUAAACUUCUUUUAUAUGGGAAUAAAAUGUUCCACGUGUGGGCUUUUGUAUGUACCAUAUGAAUAAGGAUCGGCUAACUCCGUUCCAGCAGACGCGGUAAUACGGAGGAUCCGAGCGUUAUCCGGAUUUAUUGGGUUUAAAGGGAGCGUAGGUGGAUUGUUAUGUUAGUUGUGAAAGUUUGCGGUUCAAACGUAAAAUUGCAGUUGAGACUGGCAGUCUUGAGUACAGUAGAGGUGGGCGGAAUUCGUGGUGUAGCGGUGAAAUGCUUAGAUAUCACGAAGAACUCCGAUUGCGAAGGCAGCUCACUGGACUGCAACUGACACUGAGGCUCGAAAGUGUGGGUAUCAAACAGGAUUAGAUACCCUUGUAGUG